GACCCUGCAGGUCUAAAGCAUUCACGUACUGUUUCUCUGUAGCCGACCAAACUGUUCCGCAGAAGUGUGCUCAAAUUGGGAUUGGGUAUGUUAGCAUCACCUCUAAGGUUGUGAAAUCACGUGGAGGUGUGAAAUCGAACGUUGUGUCGGAUCUACAUGGAAUCAAGAAAAAGAGGCAGCUGUGGGGGACAGGUGCAGCUGUAGCGUCUGAUGAUUCCAAAGGGGUAAGGCGCUCUUGAAAUAGCUGCCGUGGAUGCAAGCUGGUAGCCAGGUCUACGUGAUCAAUACACACCAGUGCCUAUGGUAUAAUGGGACAUUCGAAGCCAGAUAACGUCGAAAAGUCACAAUGAACAGCAGUGGAAAGUGAAGUGCUUCUGGCAGAAUUACCCAAGGUCAGCUUUAUCAAACAAUCUGCAAACUGUGGCGUACAACAAGAGUCAGAGACUGCUAGAGUUGAUCAUGUAGGCGAUGAGAACGCAUCAAGCGACUCUGAGUUUGAUAUGAACACCCAACAAACACCUGUACUUGAAACAUCAGAGACAUCAGAUGAUGGAGCUUCAAGCGGGCAGGAUACCAGUUUCAUUGAUUUUCAAGGCAUAUUUCAGUAUGAUGAGGAAUCAACAAACCAGACUCAGAAGUCAUCUGUUGAAGUUAGGGUUGACUUGGCUGUUACUCACACUAAACCACCCAGAGUAAUAAUUAUACCUGAUGAAUCCGAUAUGAAAGGUACAUUUUAUGAUAUCAUAGAUGAAGAAUCACAAGCAGUUUCUUCUGGUUAAUCUCCUAAAAAUAGACAAAGGACGUUAAUCCACAGCAGUCUCCAUCGUUUCUCAAACAUCAGAAGAUGAUGCUUACCUAUCUCUGAGUCAGUGGCUUGCCGUGCUGCUGCUAAAACUUCAGUUACAGUACUAUGUUUGUAGCACAGUGAUGGUCCUCUUCAGGAAAUAUUGUGGUCUUACUAGCAUGUGGUAACUCAUCCUUAGCAACCCCAUUUCCUACUACAAUGCAUAAACUGUUUGCCUGUAGCAGGAUUAGUAAACGUUCAA